rnacentral:rRNA from 2 species
CCUGAGAAACCCAAAAGAUCGAAUGGAGAGAUUCAUCGUUAGCUCAUAUUGUAUAUAUAUAAGCUGCGAUGCGAGUUACUUUUUUUAAAGGUAUUGCUUGCACGUACUUAUAUAUUUUAUUGCAAUAUGCUGCCGGCGUGCACUUCUCUCCUAGUAGGACAUCGCAACCCGUUAAGUGCCGGUCUACGGCCCAAGUGAUAGACUUUAAUGUAAUUUAAAAAUCAUUAAAGAUCCUUGGUGUUUUCUGACCCGGCUACUUGGCGGUACUCGUACGGUAUUUAGCCGCUCUAUAUAUUAUGUAUAUUAAGCGUCCAUAUCCGUCGCAAGCGAGGCCAAUUUUAUAUUACCGAUUGUACACGGACCUAGUUGCCGUCAUUGGUAUUGGCCAGCUGUUGGUUGUACGGUAUUCUAGGACUGGCUAAAACAAAAAUAAAAAUUACCGGUUGGCGAUGCUAAUGCUUUGGGUACUUUCAGG